rnacentral:misc_RNA from 1 species
UUCUAUUGUAUUAAACAAAACAAAAAAAAAAUCAAAAAUAAUCUAAACAUCGCGUAUUCCAGACAGCAUUUACAUCAAAAGGGCAAAGAUGAAAUUCAUCACUCACAUCCAAAAACACACACACGCAUACUAACACAAGCGCAGCACCUAGACCGAAAGUAUUUUGCAAAUGUAUUAAAUUUUUUUGUGGUAUUUUGUAAAGAUUUAAACCAUAAUUAGCGUAAAAUUUGUUGGCAAAAACACAUACACACAAAAAAAAAAUAUAUAUACAUAUAUAGAUAUUCACGAUAAAUAUUUUAGUCUAGAACGCAAUUUGUGCAAAACACAAGCAAAAAAAAAAAAAAAAAAAAACCUUCGGUAAAAAUCCCGCAAAAAACGAACAAAAACAAAAUGCAUUACAAAUGCAGAAAAAAUUCAAUUAUUAAUUAUUAUGUUAAAAAUAAUGAACAACAAAUAAUCGCUGGCUAUUUGAGGGCAUCCAAAAUUGUGAUAAAUGAAAAUUAGAGUGCGGCACUGACCAAGGGAGAGCGCAACAAUAAAACAAAUGCAAAAAAAUUAUAGCAACGAGAGAGCGCAUGAAAAGCAAAGAGCUAAGCGCCAAGGGAGCGAGUGUGAGAGAGAACGAGAGCAACAAGUGCAGCGCGCAGCUGUCGUCAAUAUUUGGCGCGUUUCCGACGCGACUAAAAACGCAUGCUUACCGUUUUUAUUUUGUGGCAAGACUGCUUCGGAUCGCCGUUCUUCAAUGCCUGCGUUGAGGCGCUGCAGCUGCACGAGGAUAUGGACAAAUAUAACGAAUGGCGCGAUAC